GCAACUUACACAUAAGCAGUGUUGGGCAAGUUACUGGAAAUUAGUAAUUAGUUACAGUUACUAGUUACUUCUUUCAAAAGUAAUUGAAUUACUUUACUAAUUACUGUAUAUCGAAAGUAAAUUAGUUACUAGAGAAAGUAACUUUUGAGUUACUUUCAUGUCUGCUUUUAAAACGUCAAUGUGAACAAUACUGAACAGUCACACACACAAUACACAUAAUUUGUAGACCUACUGUAUGUAGUCCCUUCAAAUCAAACAGUAGCCUUGAACAUGAGUUCUCAAACUUUUACUUUUGAAGCACCAGCUCAAUAUA